ACCCAGUGACGAAUCCCAAAUAGGACGAAAUGUGCAUCCUGGAU
rnacentral:hammerhead_ribozyme from 1 species